rnacentral:rRNA from 1 species
CCUACGGGAGGCAGCAGUGGGGAAUAUUGCACAAUGGGGGAAACCCUGAUGCAGCAACGCCGCGUGAGUGAAGAAGGUUUUCGGAUUGUAAAGCCCUGUUAGCAGGGAAGAGGAACGACGGUACCUGCAGAGGAAGCCACGGCUAACUACGGGCCAGGAGCCGCGGUCAUACGGAGGUGGGAAGCGUUGUGCGGAAGAACUGGGCGUAAAGGAUGCGUAUGCGGUUAAACAAGUUAUAUGUUAAAUAUAUAGGCUUAACCUGUAUAAAGCAUAUAAAACUGUUUAACUAGAGUGCAGGAGAGGUAAGUGGAAUGCCUGGUGUAGCGGUGAAAUGCGUAGAGAUUAGGAAGAACACCAGUGGCGAAGGCGACUUACUGGACUGUAACUGACGCUGAGGCAUGAGAGCAUGGGGAGCAAACAGGAUUAGAUACCCGAGUAGUC